rnacentral:rRNA from 1 species
UACGAAGGGGCUAGCGUUGCUCGGAAUCACUGGGCGUAAAGGGUGCGUAGGUGGCGUGGAAAGUCAGAUGUGAAAGCCCGGGGCUCAACCUCGGAAUAGCAUCCGAUACUACCAUGCUAGAGUACUGAAGAGGUGACUAGAAUUCUCGGCGGUAGCAGUGAAAUGCGUAGAUAUCGAGAGGAAUACCAACGGCGAAGGCGACUUACUGGACGAUUGUUGACGCUGGAGGUGACGAAAGCCGUGGGGAGCAAACAGG